AUAUGUGGGGCUUCUUGCUCUGCAAUUGGAAUGAGAACAAUUUAAAUCACUUAACGAGUAUCAAUUGGAGGGCAAGUCUGGUGCCAGCAGCCGCGGUAAUUCCAGCUCCAAUAGCGUAUAUGUAAGUUGUUGCGAUUAAAAAGCCCGUAGCUGAACCUCGGGCAACCCUGACGGUCCGCGUUUCGUGAGUACUGUCGUGGGUUGUCUUUCUGGCAAGACCGUAUCUCGGCGUUAACUCGCCGGGAACGGCGCUUGCCAAGGUUACUUUGAGUAAAAUAGAGUGUUCAAAGCAAGCUCGCGCUCUGAAUACAC
rnacentral:rRNA from 1 species